AUUCCAGCUCCAAUAGCGUAUAUUAAAGUUGUUGCAGUUAAAAAGCUCGUAGUUGGAUUUCUGGUGAGUUCGUUUGGCCGGCCGUAAAGGUCUGUGCCGAAAUGUUAUUCGCCAUCCUUGGUGUAAUCUUGUCCGCCAUUAAGUUGUGUGGGCUUGAGGAUGCCAUCGUUUACUGUGAAAAAAUUAGAGUGUUCAAAGCAGGCUUAUGCCGUUGAAUACAUUAGCAUGGAAUAAUAAGAUAGGACCCUGGUACUAUUUUGUUGGUUUGCGUACCUAGGUAAUGAUUAAUAGGGACAGUUGGGGGUAUUUGUAUUCCGUUGUCAGAGGUGAAAUUCUUGGAUUUACGGAAGACAAACUACUGCGAAAGCAUUUACCAAGGAUGUUUUCAUUA
rnacentral:rRNA from 1 species